CCCCGGGCUCAACCUGGGAACUGCGUUNUGAACUGGGUGACUAGAGUGUNUCAGAGGGAGGUAGAAUUCCACGUGUAGCAGUGAAAUGCGUAGAGAUGUGGAGGAAUACCGAUGGCGAAGGCAGCCUCCUGGGAUAACACUGACGUUCAUGCCCGAAAGCGUGGGUAGCAAACAGGAUUAGAUACCCUGGUAGUCCACGCCCUAAACGAUGUCGAUUAGCUGUUGGGCAGCAUGACUGCUUAGUAGCGAAGCUAACGCGUGAAAUCGACCGCCUGGGGAGUACGGUCGCAAGAUUAAAACUCAAAGGAAUUGACGGGGACCCGCACAAGCGGUGGAUGAUGUGGAUUAAUUCGAUGCAACGCGAAGAACCUUACCUGGUCUUGACAUGUACGGAACCCUCCAGAGACGGAGGGGUGCCUUCGGGAGCCGUAACACAGGUGCUGCAUGGCUGUCGUCAGCUCGUGUCGUGAGAUGUUGGGUUAAGUCCCGCAACGAGCGCAACCCUUGUCAUUAGUUGCCAUCAUUAAGUUGGGCACUCUAAUGAGACUGCCGGUGACAAGCCGGAGGAAGGUGGGGAUGACGUCAAGUCCUCAUGGCCCUUAUGACCAGGGCUUCACACGUCAUACAAUGGUCGGUACAGAGGGUAGCCAAGCCGCGAGGUGGAGCCAAUCUCACAAAACCGAUCGUAGUCCGGAUUGCACUCUGCAACUCGAGUGCAUGAAGUCGGAAUCGCUAGUAAUCGCAGGUCAGCAUACUGCGGUGAAUACGUUCCCGGGUCUUGUACACACCGCCCGUCACACCAUGGGAGUGGGGGAUACCAGAAGUAGGUAGGGUAACCGC
rnacentral:rRNA from 1 species